CAUGAUUUAUUAUUGACGAAUAAAAUAAAACUUGUAAAAUAUGUUUUAUACCUAUUGAAGUCAAAAUCGUCUGUACUCAAAAAAAAUUAGUAGCCGUUCGUCUCUGAGGAUAUAUUGGUGAACAUUUUUUGUGCAAUUUUAUUGACCAAUAUGUAACAUAAAUAAAUUGUAUAUUUUAAUUGAGACUUGAACACCUAAAAAUCUCUAUUAAAUAAUGAUUUCUGGCUAAAAAUUAUAAUAUUCAUAGAGUAAGUACUUUGCACCGCUAAAAUUAUCCAUAAAAAGCUGCUAAUGUCUGCUAAUGAGUUCAUUAUCAUUAUUUUUUAAAUAGUAUAGGGACGGUUACAUUUUUGUUUUGAUUAAUUGUGUUUACUCUUUAAGUACUAAAAUAUGUAUUAUUUGUCCUAAUAGCUAUAUUAAAAGCUGAUGGGUUCACUUAUGAAAAUGGAUUAGAUAAUUAUAAAUUCUCUAUAAAAGAAUCAUAUUUUAUAGAAGAAUAUAAAAAGUAUCUUGAUGAAGAGGCUUCUAAAUUGAUCGAUGGACUUGAAGGAACGGUUGCCUGGUGUCGUAAUAACCAUCAUGUAUGAUAUUGUCUAAUAUACCAGAGUUUUGCAAGCAGUAAAGGAAUAAAGAUUAUACAUCAAUCACUUAAAAUAAUUAACUAAGAUCUAAAAAAUAAGUUGUAAAAUCAGAAUUUUUUAAACUAUUUGUUAUUAAUAAUGUUAAUAAAUGUAUUAAUAUUAGUUUUUACAAAAAUUCUGUAAUUUUUCAUGCAUUAUUUUCAUGUAAUUAUAAAUAAUUGAAAUAAUUUACUCAUAUACUCCAGAUCUACA